rnacentral:rRNA from 1 species
UACGUAGGGUGCGAGCGUUAAUCGGAAUUACUGGGCGUAAAGCGUGCGCAGGCUGUUCUGUAAGUCAGAUGUGAAAUCCCUGGGCUCAACCUAGGAACUGCGUUUGAAACUACAGGACUAGAAUAUGUCAGAGGGGGGUAGAAUUCCACGUGUAGCAGUGAAAUGCGUAGAGAUGUGGAGGAAUACCAAUGGCGAAGGCAGCCCCCUGGGAUAAUAUUGACGCUCAUGCACGAAAGCGUGGGGAGCAAACAGG